UUAAGCGACUAAGCGUACACGGUGGAUGCCCUGGCAGUCAGAGGCGAUGAAGGACGUGCUAAUCUGCGAUAAGCGUCGGUAAGGUGAUAUGAACCGUUAUAACCGGCGAUUUCCGAAUGGGGAAACCCAGUGUGUUUCGACACACUAUCAUUAACUGAAUCCAUAGGUUAAUGAGGCGAACCGGGGGAACUGAAACAUCUAAGUACCCCGAGGAAAAGAAAUCAACCGAGAUUCCCCCAGUAGCGGCGAGCGAACGGGGAGCAGCCCAGAGCCUGAAUCAGUGUGUGUGUUAGUGGAAGCGUCUGGAAAGGCGCGCGAUACAGGGUGACAGCCCCGUACACAAAAAUGCACAUACUGUGAGCUCGAUGAGUAGGGCGGGACACGUGGUAUCCUGUCUGAAUAUGGGGGGACCAUCCUCCAAGGCUAAAUACUCCUGACUGACCGAUAGUGAACCAGUACCGUGAGGGAAAGGCGAAAAGAACCCCGGCGAGGGGAGUGAAAAAGAACCUGAAACCGUGUACGUACAAGCAGUGGGAGCACAGAGCAAUCUGUGUGACUGCGUACCUUUUGUAUAAUGGGUCAGCGACUUAUAUUCUGUAGCAAGGUUAACCGAAUAGGGGAGCCGAAGGGAAACCGAGUCUUAACUGGGCGUUAAGUUGCAGGGUAUAGACCCGAAACCCGGUGAUCUAGCCAUGGGCAGGUUGAAGGUUGGGUAACACUAACUGGAGGACCGAACCGACUAAUGUUGAAAAAUUAGCGGAUGACUUGUGGCUGGGAGUGAAAGGCCAAUCAAACCGGGAGAUAGCUGGUUCUCCCCGAAAGCUAUUUAGGUAGCGCCUCGUGAAUUCAUCUCCGGGGGUAGAGCACUGUUUCGGCAAGGGGGUCAUCCCGACUUACCAACCCGAUGCAAACUGCGAAUACCGGAGAAUGUUAUCACGGGAGACACACGGCGGGUGCUAACGUCCGUCGUGAAGAGGGAAACAACCCAGACCGCCAGCUAAGGUCCCAAAGUCAUGGUUAAGUGGGAAACGAUGUGGGAAGGCCCAGACAGCCAGGAUGUUGGCUUAGAAGCAGCCAUCAUUUAAAGAAAGCGUAAUAGCUCACUGGUCGAGUCGGCCUGCGCGGAAGAUGUAACGGGGCUAAACCAUGCACCGAAGCUGCGGCAGCGACGCUUAUGCGUUGUUGGGUAGGGGAGCGUUCUGUAAGCCUGUGAAGGUGUACUGUGAGGUAUGCUGGAGGUAUCAGAAGUGCGAAUGCUGACAUAAGUAACGAUAAAGCGGGUGAAAAGCCCGCUCGCCGGAAGACCAAGGGUUCCUGUCCAACGUUAAUCGGGGCAGGGUGAGUCGACCCCUAAGGCGAGGCCGAAAGGCGUAGUCGAUGGGAAACAGGUUAAUAUUCCUGUACUUGGUGUUACUGCAAGGGGGGACGGAGAAGGCUAUGUUUGGCCGGGCGACGGUUGUCCCGGUUUAAGCGUGUAGGCUGGUUUUCCAGGCAAAUCCGGAAAAUCAAGGCUGAGGCGUGAUGACGAGGCACUACGGUGCUGAAGCAACAAAUGCCCUGCUUCCAGGAAAAGCCUCUAAGCAUCAGGUAACAUCAAAUCGUACCCCAAACCGACACAGGUGGUCAGGUAGAGAAUACCAAGGCGCUUGAGAGAACUCGGGUGAAGGAACUAGGCAAAAUGGUGCCGUAACUUCGGGAGAAGGCACGCUGAUAUGUAGGUGAAGUCCCUCGCGGAUGGAGCUGAAAUCAGUCGAAGAUACCAGCUGGCUGCAACUGUUUAUUAAAAACACAGCACUGUGCAAACACGAAAGUGGACGUAUACGGUGUGACGCCUGCCCGGUGCCGGAAGGUUAAUUGAUGGGGUUAGCGCAAGCGAAGCUCUUGAUCGAAGCCCCGGUAAACGGCGGCCGUAACUAUAACGGUCCUAAGGUAGCGAAAUUCCUUGUCGGGUAAGUUCCGACCUGCACGAAUGGCGUAAUGAUGGCCAGGCUGUCUCCACCCGAGACUCAGUGAAAUUGAACUCGCUGUGAAGAUGCAGUGUACCCGCGGCAAGACGGAAAGACCCCGUGAACCUUUACUAUAGCUUGACACUGAACAUUGAGCCUUGAUGUGUAGGAUAGGUGGGAGGCUUUGAAGUGUGGACGCCAGUCUGCAUGGAGCCGACCUUGAAAUACCACCCUUUAAUGUUUGAUGUUCUAACGUGGACCCGUAAUCCGGGUUGCGGACAGUGUCUGGUGGGUAGUUUGACUGGGGCGGUCUCCUCCUAAAGAGUAACGGAGGAGCACGAAGGUUGGCUAAUCCUGGUCGGACAUCAGGAGGUUAGUGCAAUGGCAUAAGCCAGCUUGACUGCGAGCGUGACGGCGCGAGCAGGUGCGAAAGCAGGUCAUAGUGAUCCGGUGGUUCUGAAUGGAAGGGCCAUCGCUCAACGGAUAAAAGGUACUCCGGGGAUAACAGGCUGAUACCGCCCAAGAGUUCAUAUCGACGGCGGUGUUUGGCACCUCGAUGUCGGCUCAUCACAUCCUGGGGCUGAAGUAGGUCCCAAGGGUAUGGCUGUUCGCCAUUUAAAGUGGUACGCGAGCUGGGUUUAGAACGUCGUGAGACAGUUCGGUCCCUAUCUGCCGUGGGCGCUGGAGAAUUGAGGGGGGCUGCUCCUAGUACGAGAGGACCGGAGUGGACGCAUCACUGGUGUUCGGGUUGUCAUGCCAGUGGCACUGCCCGGUAGCUAAAUGCGGAAGAGAUAAGUGCUGAAAGCAUCUAAGCACGAAACUUGCCCCGAGAUGAGUUCUCCCUGACUCCUUGAGAGUCCUGAAGGAACGUUGAAGACGACGACGUUGAUAGGCCGGGUGUGUAAGCGCAGCGAUGCGUUGAGCUAACCGGUACUAAUGAACCGUGAGGCUUAACCUU
rnacentral:rRNA from 1 species